rnacentral:rRNA from 1 species
CCUACGGGGGGCUGCAGUGGGGGAUAUUGCACAAUGGGGGAAACCCUGAUGCAGCGACGCCGCGUGUGGGAAGACGGUCCUCUGGAUUGUAAACUACUGUCCCCAGGGACGAAGAUGACGGUACCUGGGGAGGAAGCUCCGGCUAACUACGUGCCAGCAGCCGCGGUAAUACGUAGGGAGCGAGCGUUGUCCGGAAUUACUGGGUGUAAGGGGAGCGUAGGCGGGACUGCAAGUUGGGUGUCAAAUCUACCGGCUCAACCGGUAGCCGCACUCAAAACUGCAGUUCUUGAGUGAAGUAGAGGCAGGCGGAAUUCCUAGUGUAGCGGUGAAAUGCGUAGAUAUUAGGAGGAACACCAGUGGCGAAGGCGGCCUGCUGGGCUUUUACUGACGCUGAGGCUCGAAAGUGUGGGGAGCAAACAGGAUUAGAUACCCCAGUAGUC